AACGAACGCUGGCGGCAGGCUUAACACAUGCAAGUCGAACGGGUGUAGCAAUACAUCAGUGGCAGACGGGUGAGUAACACGUGGGAACCUUCCUAGGGGUACGGAACAACUCAGGGAAACUUGAGCUAAUACCGUAUACGUCCGUAAGGAGAAAGAUUCAUCGCCCCUAGACGGGCCCGCGUCGGAUUAGGUAGUUGGUGGGGUAACGGCCUACCAAGCCUACGAUCCGUAGCUGAUCUGAGAGGAUGAUCAGCCACACUGGGACUGAGACACGGCCCAGACUCCUACGGGAGGCAGCAGUGGGGAAGUCUUGGACAAUGGGCGGCAAGCCUGAUCCAGCCAUGCCGCGUGAGUGAAGAAGGCC
rnacentral:rRNA from 1 species